rnacentral:rRNA from 1 species
CACGUAGGGUGCGAGCGUUGUCCGGAAUUAUUGGGCGUAAAGAGCUCGUAGGCGGUGUGUCGCGUCGGCCGUGAAAACCUGCAGCUUAACUGUGGGCUUGCGGUCGAUACGGGCAUCACUGGAGUUCGGCAGGGGAGACUGGAAUUCCUGGUGUAGCGGUGAAAUGUGCAGAUAUCAGGAGGAACACCGGUGGCGAAGGCGGGUCUCUGGGCCGAGACUGACGCUGAGGAGCGAAAGCGUGGGGAGCGAACAGG